AAUUUUCUAAAUUAAAAUUACAGCCUGUAUUAUAUUUUAUUAAUUUACUUUUUUUGUUAAGAAAAUGAAAUUACCAAAAUUGAAAAAUUCUUUAAUGAAAAAAAUGCUUGAACCAACUUUAGCUUGACAAUAGAGGGAAUCGAUUGAUUGUUGCUGAUGAAGCUGCUAUAAAUACACCAGCUGUUGCUGCAGCUUAUGUUGUUAAAAGAUAUUCUGCACAGGCAAAUGAUGAAAUAUCAUUUGAAGUAGGCGAUAUGGUAUCUGUUAUAGAUAUGCCACCUCCCGAAGAAUCCACUUGGUGGAGAGGAAAGAAAGGUUUUGAGGUUGGAUUUUUUCCAUGUGAAUGUGUUGAAGUUAUUGGAAAUAAACUACCCCAAACCAUCAAAACUCCAAAAGUCCCUACAAAGCCAG